GAUGAAGAACGUAGCGAAAUGCGAUAAGUAAUGUGAAUUGCAGAAUUCAGUGAAUCAUCGAAUCUUUGAACGCACCUUGCGCCCUUUGGCCAUUCCGAAGGGCAUGCCUGUUUGAGUACCAUGAACACCUCAACUCUUUAUGGUUUUCCAUGAUGAGCUUGGACUCUGGGGGUUUUGCUGGCUCACAGUCGGCUCCUCUAAAAUGAAUCAGCUUACCAGUGUUUGGUGGGUAUCAUGGGUGUGAUAACUAUCUACGCUUGUGGUUUUUCCACCAGGUAACCUUCAGCAGUGGAGGUUCGCUGGAGCCCAUAGAUGUCUCUCCUCAGUGAGGACAGCCCUUUGAAUGUUUGAUCUCAAAUCAGGUAGGACUACCCGCUGAACUUAAGCAUAUCAAUAAGCGGAGGA
rnacentral:misc_RNA from 1 species